UACGGAGGGUGCAAGCGUUAUCCGGAUUCACUGGGCUUAAAGGGUGCGUAGGUGGGCCUGUAAGUCAGUGGUGAAAUCUCCGGGCUUAACCCGGAAACUGCCAUUGAUACUAUAGGUCUUGAAUUUUCUGGAGGUCAGCGGAAUAUGUCAUGUAGCGGUGAAAUGCUUAGAUAUGACAUAGAACACCGAUUGCGAAGGCAGCUGACUACAGGAACAUUGACACUGAGGCACGAAAGCGUGGGGAUCAAACAGG
rnacentral:rRNA from 1 species